UACGUAGGGUGCAAGCGUUGUCCGGAAUUAUUGGGCGUAAAGAGCUCGUAGGCGGUCUGUUGCGUCGGCUGUGAAAACCCGGGGCUCAACCCCGGGCCUGCAGCCGAUACGGGCAGACUAGAGUUCGGCAGGGGAGACUGGAAUUCCUGGUGUAGCGGUGAAAUGCGCAGAUAUCAGGGGGAACACCGGUGGCGAAGGCGGGUCUCUGGGCCGAUACUGACGCUGAGGAGCGAAAGCGUGGGGAGCGAACAGG
rnacentral:rRNA from 1 species